AUGUUUAAACAGCAAUUGGAUAAAUACUUGCAAAAACAGAUAUAAUUUCUAAUUAGUGGGGUAAUAGCUUCUUGAUCCAAGGAAAUACCUGACUGCUAUUUUGGGGUAAAGAAGGAUUUUCCCCCUAGUUUUUGCAAAAUUGCAAGUGCUUCUAACUGUGUUUUUUUGCCUUCUUUUGGAUUAAUAGCAAAAGUAUAUGUGAGUAAGGCUGAACUGGAUGGAUGCAAGUCUCUUUUCAGCUAUGUAACUAUGUAAAGCCGAUCUCGAGCUUUGGAAAAGAUGAUUUUUUUUAUUUGAACUCCUGUUGGACCUAAGAUUUCAAAUCGAUAUUUGACAUAAAUAAAUUCAGUGUUGAAAAAGUUGCCCUCUUUAUAGUGGGAACAG